UUUUACCUUUGUCACAGAUUUUGAAUCAUUAAAUAAAUGAAAAUAUAAAUUUUACACAGAUAUGCAUUUUUCCACAGCAAUUUUAUCUCUAUUAAAUUUGUAUUUUUGUUUUUGUUUUUUCUAACGAGUCACUGAAGCACUUGAGAUGAAAGAAAACAAUGAAAUAUCAAGGGCCCAAACACAAUCCCUGCGGUCCUGGAGAAGAAUCAAUGAGGCCGCACACGACAGAAGAAAAAACAGAGAGAAGCAGACACAGACCGUCAACAUGAAACGUGGUAAGAAGCCCAUUUUACUGCCAUAAUCUAUUUCUAAAGGGGGAAACAAGAUACUCAGAGAGAAAGAAAAUAGGAUGGGAUUUUGGUUUUAUCCAUGGGGAUCGUGAAAAGUGGGCAUUUCAUACCAAAAUGGUUUCUAUAUGCAAACGUUUUUGUAUUUAUUUAUUUGAAUAACAUGCACUGGAUUAAAAUUGUUUAUUUUUUUUUAUGUUUUAGAAAUAGCAUGCACUGAUAAACCAUUCACAAUAAGAACAAAAAAAAUAUUUUUUUAUUUAAUCCAUGGACAUCAUGAAAAACGGAUGUUUUAUAUUAGAACAGACGUUUUUAUAUUUAUAUACUUGUAUGUAUUUGUUUGUGGAAAACACACAAACGGUGCUACACUGAUGUGGAGAGACACAGAGGAGACAAAUUGUUGAAUAAAGUAGUUAUUUUUGUUUUCUUUGUGUACAAAAAGUAUUCUCGUCGCUUCAUAACGUUACGGUUGAAUCACUAAUGGCAGAUGGACUAUUCUGACGAUGCUUUUCAUACCUUUCCUGGACCAUGACACUGUUAUUUAUUUGGCAGUCUAUGGGACAGUCACAAGCCUCCCGGUUUUCAUCCAAAAUAUCUUAAAUUGUGUUCUGAAGAUGAACAAAGCUUUUACGGGUUUGGAACGACAUGGGGGUAAGUGAUUAAUUACAAACUUUUAAUUUUGGGGUGGAGUAUCCCUUUAAGUGCAUUUUGAUUUCAUGCAUAUUUCACACUCUGUAUUUCUGUCUUUUAAAGUAAAACGAAUGCUGUAAAAUCCUGAUCCUCCAUGAACGUCCAUAGUGUCGACACCAUAGACAAUCCCAUAAACCCCUCCAUACAGACACACAUUGGGACCUCUGCUAAUUGAAUUCAGCACUCAUUAAGAUGAUAAUGAGAUGCGCUGAUGAUAACGAUCUGACCCCUGCGGCUGGAGUUCUGCGUGGUCAGCAGAUGUUUUUCAGUCCCUUCAGACCAAAUGAGCAAAUCAUUGUGUUUGCACGAGUCUGACUAAUAGAAACAUCACGCUAAUAUUCACCUCAGCGUGACAGCGGCCACUUCACAUUCAAACGCACACAAUAAUGAAAGGCAGUAUCCAGAAAAUCUAAUUUUAUAUAUAUUGCAGCCUUUAGACUGAGAAUGAUAAGUAAAAAUCUAAAGGGAAAUUACAAAGCGAGGAGAAAUGAGGUGAUUAGCUAUUAUAAUGCAAACAGCCUCCUAGAAAGGCAAUUGUUUGUGCUUUUAACGCAGUGAUAUUUCUCCAUCUGGUUUAAUUUGGUUUAUUGUUCGUGAGUUUUCUAGCCGCAUUUCUAUCAAAAUACUACUUGUAAAGCCUCGCAAGCACACACCAACACAAUUUCAUAAAAGCAUUUGAAUGAAAAACAUGCACACAAGCAUUCACAGAUAAACUAAAGCCGGACAAACAAAUUCAUGAUUGAAGUUCUUAAGCUCUCCGACUGCAGUAAAUCCCAUAUUGCAGCUCAACUGUGAACUUUGGCAUGUGUUUUCUGCUUCGUUCCGCUGCAUUUUCAUUCGCUCAUGCAUGUCUCAUCCAGGCAGGUAUGAUGAUUACAGCUGUGUUGUUUUAAUUGCUUUUGACCAGCGGAGCAGAAUGUGAGCAUGCGGCAUAACGCUUGAUGCAGAAAUCAUGCGGGAACGGCCUGCAUGCACAAUGUGGAAAUGUUUUAAGCAUUUAGAGACAAUGAAUAUCCUCUCAUUUACAUGUUAUUUAAGCAUAAACUUGCUUUGCAUGUCAAAGUCCAAAAAAAAUGAUGUAGAAGCAAUUUUCACUUAGAAACUGCUAGUAAAUUUCACAAAUAAAUCCAAAGAAAUGGCAAGUAACAGUGAAUAAACAUGAAAUUGAAAAAAACUGAACUAUUUUAUUAUAGAAAUUAUUACUUUUAUUUAGCAAGGAUGCUUUAAAUUGAUCAAAAGUGAUGAUAAAGACAUUUGUAAUGUUACAAAAGAUUUCUGUUUCAGAGAAAUGCUGUUCUGAACUUUCUGUUCAUCAAAAAGCCUGAAAAAUUCCACUCAGCUUUUUUCAACAUAAUAAUACUAAUAAAUAAUAAUAAUAAUUGGAA
ensembl:lncRNA